AGAAUCAACGCUGGCGGCGUGCCUAACACAUGCAAGUCGCACGAGAAAGGGGAGCAAUCCCUGAGUACAGUGGCGCACGGGUGAGUAACACGUGAAUAAUCUACCUCCGAGUGGGGAAUAACUGAGAGAAAUCUUAGCUAAUACCGCAUAACACUUACGAGUCAAAGCAGCAAUGCGCUUGGAGAGGAGUUCGCGGCAGAUUAGUUAGUUGGCGGGGUAAUGGCCACCAAGACGAUGAUCUGUAUCCGGCCUGAGAGGGCGCACGGACACACUGGAACUGAAACACGGUCCAGACUCCUACGGGAGGCAGCAGUGGGGAAUUUUGCGCAAUGGGGGAAACCCUGACGCAGCAACGCCGCGUGGAGGAUGAAGCCCCUUGGGGUGUAAACUCCUUUCGAUCGGGAAGAUAAUGACGGUACCGAUAUAAGAAGCCCCGGCUAACUUCGUGCCAGCAGCCGC
rnacentral:rRNA from 1 species